rfam:Triticum urartu cultivar G1812 contig656366, whole genome shotgun sequence.
AAAACUAGUCAGUCCCAUGGGUAUGGAACCCAUUUGAGCGAAAGUAAUACUAGGAUGGGUGACCUCCUGGGAAGUCCUCGUGAAAGGGUUUC